UACGUAGGGUGCGAGCGUUGUCCGGAAUUACUGGGCGUAAAGAGCUCGUAGGCGGCUUGUCGCGUUGUUCGUGAAAAUUUACCGCUCAACGGUGAACUUGCGGGCGAUACGGGCAGGCUAGAGUACUGCAGGGGAGACUGGAAUUCCUGGUGUAGCGGUGAAAUGCGCAGAUAUCAGGAAGAACACCGGUGGCGAAGGCGGGUCUCUGGGCAGUAACUGACGCUGAGGAGCGAAAGCGUGGGGAGCAAACAGG
rnacentral:rRNA from 1 species